rnacentral:rRNA from 1 species
UUCCGUAGGUGAACCUGCGGAAGGAUCAUUGAAUCUAUCAAACCCACACCGCGAACAAUGUUUGUUGUGCUGCCCUUCGCCCCCUCCGGGGGACGAGGUGGCAAAUCCUUAUUCACUCUAAACAAAAACCAACGUCUAAAGCUAUAUGUAGUUGGCACUGCCGACUACUGUAACCAAAGACAACUCUCAACAACGGAUAUCUUGGCUCUUACAACGAUGAAGAACGCAGCGAAAUGCGAUACGUAGUGUGAAUUGCAGAAUUCCGUGAACCAUUGAAUCUUUGAACGCAUAUUGCGCUCGAGCCUUCGGGCAAGAGCACGCCUGCCUCAGGGUCAUGAGCACCUCAUCCCCCCCACCCCUGUGUGGACGGGAAUGGACCUGGCAGUCUCACUGAGCGCAAGCCCGGUGGGUCUGCUGAAGUGCAGAAGACUAAGCAAACCGUCGGCCACCUCACGGUGGUCUCAGGCGAGUGCCGGUAGAUAACCCUCGGGUUGUAUUAGCACGCGUCUAAAUGGCUUGCUAUGGUCUAAAGCAGGAAGCUUUCUCACAUUUGACCUGAGUUCAGACGAGACUACCCGCCGAACUUAAGCAUAUCAA